CUUCAGUCCAUUAACUAGGUCCUGUCCACAGAUUUCCCAAGACAAUCCAGGGUGACUCCCCCUCUUAACUCAAAGUCUGCUUAUGGCUCUAUUUCAGACUCCCGGGAUGGGCAGCACAGUUCGACAGGAAUGCACCGGAUAAUUAAAGAGAUGAUUUUAUUCAGGCUAUUGCAACAGGGAGGACAUUCAUUAACGCAGAGGAACAUCUCAGAGGGAAGGAAGGAUGGCCUGGGGUUUUUAUGAAGGCAAGGGAGUGGGAAGCAGAGUGGACAAGUCGUCAUUUGUGAAGGGGGGAUGAGAAAACGCUGAGUAUGUGAAGGCAAGGUGGUCCUUUGCCGUCUCUCCACCAUCCAGGCUCUCUGGAAGCAAAUGGCUCAGAUAAACUUCAACAUGGUCAACACGUUACCAAAAAUCUGGCCUCCCCUGUAGCUGAGAGGGGAGGAAAUAAGUGAUGAAACGAGGUCCCCAGUAGGCAGAGAAGGAAGGGUGGGGGGAGCGGACAUACCUCCAGGAGCUCUUUGGGCAAGCUGAAAUUUUACUCCCCAAAUUCAGACAUCUCCCCCUUCUCCCCGUCUAUUCUUUUCUCCCUCUUUCUCUCAAUUGGCAGGUGGGUGAGGAUAUUGUUGACCGAAAUAUCCAGAAAACUGACCACCACCAGAAGAUUCCAGCCACAUCCUUGGGGUUCCUGAAAGAUAUCUUUUGAAGAGAAAGAAAAGUUUAGACGCUUGAAUAGCUACAGUCACAAUGAAAGGUUAUAAUUUUCUUUGGCAGUAAGAAUAGCCUUUUUCCUAACGUCUUCUUUGAUAAAGACAAGUCUGCUUCCAGCACCCCUCAUUUCAACCAAUCCAGCCAGAUGGGUGCAUUUUUUGUUUGUUUGUUGUUGUUGUUGUUGUUGUUUUUGAGGAAGAUUAGCCCUGAGCUAACUACUGCCAAUCCUCCUCUUUUCGCUGAGGAAGACUGGCCCUGAACUAACAUCAUGCCCACCUUCCUCUACUUUAUAGGUGGGACGCCUACCACAGCAUGACUUUUGCCAAGCGGUGCCAUGUCCGCACCCGGGAUCCGAACCAGCAAACCCCGGGCCUCCGAGAAGCGGAAUGUGCGAACUUAACCACUGUGCCACCGGGCCGGCCCCCAGAUGUAACAAGAAGAAACUCUAUGUUCUGUUUUGCAGAAACUGAUGUUCCCGGUUUGCAGAUGUUGCUACCUUGCAGAGAAAUUAACACACUUGCCCCAAGACCCCUGCAAAUUGUUCCAGCUCCAAGCGUCCUAAAGCUACCUUAAGCUCAUUAGCAUCUUAAAUUCUCCUCCUCUGGGAGGGUCCCAGCCCCCAUUUCCAGAUCAGGGGGUGUACACAGUGGCAUGUUUACCUGCUACACAUGUGCCCUGAAAGAGCACAGUUGUUACAUGGCUGUUACAAAUAGACCUGUUUCCUCUGCUCUCUUGUGGAUGAAGUCUCCAGGGGCACUGAGCCCGGAGAGACACUGCGUUGGGUAACAUCCCAGGUGUUCUCCAUUGCUUGUGCAGGCAAUAAAGCUUUUCUUCACCCA
ensembl:lncRNA